AUGGCGAGCGGCACGAGGGGUGUCGCCGCGGCGACUAUCUCGCUAGCCGUCCUGCUCCUAGUCUUUUGCUUCUCGCCCAGCAUGGCCGCGGCCGCCGCCGUCCCCAGCAUCGACGCCACGCGGACGCGCCACCUGCCGCUGCGACACGGACUGCUGCGCGGCCCGGAGAGCGUCGCCUUCGACGCCAAAGGCAACGGCCCGUACAGCGGCGUGUCCGACGGCCGCGUGCUGAAGUGGAACGGCGACGCGCUCGGAUGGACGACGUACAGCUACAGCCCCGACUACAGCAGCGAGGCCUGCACGGCGUCUCUCCUUCGCCCGGAGACUGCCACCGAGGGCCACUGCGGCCGGCCACUCGGUCUGCGGUUCCACCUCAAGUCCGGGUACCUCUACGUGGCCGACGCUUACAAGGGACUCAUGCGGGUCGCGCCGGGCGGCGGGGAGGCCACUGUGCUUGUCACAGAGGUUGAUGGCAUACCUCUCCGCUUCACCAAUGGGGUGGACAUCGACCAGGUCGCCGUGCUCCAGGCCGACAUCACUUACCCCAAUGGCCUCGCCAUCAGUGCUGAUCGAACACAUUUAAUCAUCUCAUCGACCGGGCCGUGUAAGCUGCUACGAUACUGGAUCAAGGGCUCCAAGGCGUGCACGAUGGAGCUAUUCGCCGACCUCCCUGGCUAUCCAGACAACGUGAGGCCUGACAAGAGAGGAGGAUACUGGGUGGCACUACACCGUGAGAAGGCUGAGCUCCCCUUUGGUGUCGAUAGCCACCUACUUGCCUUGAGGAUCGAUGUCGAGGAAAAAAUAAUCGAGGAGAUGAGAGGACCCAAGAGCGUGAGGCCGACCGAGGUUCUGGAGAGGAAAGGUGGCAGAUUGUUCAUGGGAUCCGUCGAGCUUACUUAUAUGGCAGUCGUCAAACGCACAUAG
rnacentral:rRNA from 1 species